ACCUUAUCCAGAGAAGGUGGAGGGACUGGCCCGAUGAUACCCGGCAACCGACAUGACGCCAUUCAGACGCGAGAAAGCGACUGAUUAACAGGCGACAUGCACGGUGCUAAUUCCUGCAGAAACAAAAGUGGUCUGGAAGAUAAGGG
rnacentral:ncRNA from 2 species